rnacentral:rRNA from 1 species
GACGAACGCUGGCGGCGUGCCUAAUACAUGCAAGUAGAACGAGUGGCGGACGGGUGAGUAAUGUCUGGGAAACUGCCCGAUGGAGGGGGAUAACUACUGGAAACGGUAGCUAAUACCGCAUACCAUCGGAUGUGCCCAUAUGGGAUUAGCUAGUAGGUGGGGUAAUGGCUCACCUAGGCGACGAUCCCUAGCUGGUCUGAGAGGAUGACCAGCCAAACUGGAACUGAGACACGGUACAGACUCCUACGGGAGGCAGAAGUGGGGAAGAGUGCACAAGGGGGGAAAGCCUGAUGCAGCCAUGCCGCGUGGAUGAAGAAGGCCUUCGGGGUGGAAAGUACUGGCAGCGAGGAGGCGGUACUCGCAGAAGAAGCACCGGCUAACUCCGUGCCAGCAGCCGCGGUAAUUC